CCCUUAGAUGUUCUGGGCUGCACCCGUGCUGCACUGGCAGGUUCAGCGAGCUUCAUGCCCUGAUCUGAAAGGAAUGGGAAAUCUUUUCAAAACCUGCCGUGCUUGGGAUAGAUGUUUGCAAUUAUUCAUCUUCAACGAGGAUUGCCUUGUAAGCGCACGUCAUCAGCGUGCAUUGAAUACGACCCUGUAUUCUGUACACACCGCCCGUCGCUCCUACCGAUUGAAGUUUUCGGUGAGUUGACAGGAGGAUUUUUUUGAAACUGGUUCGCCAGUGGAUUUUAGAUCCAAAUGCCAACGAAUCGAUGGCUUUAGAGGAAGGAGAAGUCGUAACA
rnacentral:rRNA from 1 species